ensembl:lncRNA
CGCUUGUCAAAGGAAAUGGAGGGAAACUACAGAGAGAAAUUACAAUUAUGAAACAGCAGGAUGAGUGUGACAGGUCUAUAAUAUCCUUCCCUCUUUCUUUUCCUUCUCUCAUCUCAUUUUCUCUCUACCCCUUUCUCACAGAAUGAUGUCAAAAGCAAGCUUUAGGAACAAUGAAAAAGAGGAGAGUUUUACGGAAAGCAAUUACACUCAAAAUGGCUGAAAGUUGCUGGAAAAUGCCAACAGACAGACCAAUUUAUACCUACUCACAGUCACCAGCACAUGGGUCAGCCAGAACUCUCCACAUAGAAAAGUACAUACGGACCUACCACAGAGAGACCAAAAGAGAUGGAGAGGGUGGCAACGAAGAACCGGUUGGAGAACAAGGGUCACUGAGGGGGUCACAGAAGUACUUGAGAUUCCUGCCUCACUGUUUCCCACCCUACUGUUCAUCCUUUAUUUUUCAUCAAGCACAACAUCAGGCAUUAACUCUCUAACCCACAAACUUUUAAAUGCACUGUUUUGCUGCUGUAAAGACAAAAGGAGAUUUACUUGGCUGUGUGACUGAGUAGAAAAUAUAGGAAAAGAGAAACUUUUUGCCUUAGAUAAGCACUUUCUCACUUCCUCUCUGUUUUUUUUUUUUUUUAAUUCACAAUAAAUGAGAACAGAACUACUGUGUAUAUAUCAUGAUUAUAAACACAGGUAAAGGAUAUGACUCCUUAAGACAGGUCGAAACAAAGAGUGGGGAUUUAUUUUCAAAUAUUGUGCUAUUUUAGUUCCCAAAACACCACCAAUAUUCUCAUUUUAAAGAUCAACUAAUAGUUAUGUUAAAGAAUAAUAUAAAUGGACCAUUAUUCAGUGUUUUUCAGGGA